AUGGAGCUCGCCAUGCUGGCCAUCCGCCCCCUCCUCCCCAAGCUGGGGGACCUGCUCACAGGCGAGUUCACCCUGGAGAAGCGCGUGAGGAAAGGCGUUGACACUCUCGACAAGGAGUUGCAGCUGAUGCACGCUGCUCUCGGCAAGGUGGCGAAGGUGCCGCCAGAGGAGCUCGACGAGGGGGUCAAGAUCUGGGCUGGAAUGGUGAGGGACCUGGCCUACCAAAUGGAGGACAUCGUCGAUGCCUUCGUGCUGCGCGUGGGCAAUGGAUCUGCCAUCCCGAAGAAUAGAGUGAAGAAGUUACUCAAGAAGACAGGCAGAUUAUUCAAGAAGGGUAAAGAUCUUCAUCGAAUCUCCGAUGCUCUAGAAGAAGCAGUUGGUCAGGCUAGACAGUUGGCUGAGCUUCGCCAAAGGUACGAGCUGGAGACGCGGGACGCCGACGCUGGGGCUAGUGUUGACCCUCGCACCAUGGCUAUGUACAUAGAUAUGACAGAGCUCGUCAGCAUUGAAGAGCCACGAGAUGAAUUGAUCAAUAUGUUGCUUGAUGAUGAUGACUGGUCAAAUAAUUCGUUGAAGAUGGUCUCUGUUGUUGGAUUUGGUGGGUUAGGCAAGACAACUCUUGCUAAAGUUGUGUAUGACAAGAUCAAAGUGCAAUUUGAUUGCAGUGCUUUUGUUUCGGUUUCUCAGAAUCCAAACAUGAAGAAAAUCUUGAAGGAUAUUCUUUUUGAACUCGACAAGGACAAGUAUUCAGAUAUAUAUAACGUCGAGUCGAACGAGAAGAAAGGCAUCUCAUCAAUGAACUCAUUGAAUUCCUUGCUGAAAAAAGGUACCUCAUGGUAA
rnacentral:rRNA from 1 species